UCAAAGGAAAUUUGAUCUUUCAUUGUUGAGUCUAGGACCUACUGAGAAUAGUAUUUGCGGUCUUCCUUUUCUAAUUUUUCCUUCAUUCUACUUCCAUGGGGUCAUGAUAAGGAUGGUUCUCUGCAACAUGGGUGAUCAGUAUUGGAAGCACAGGAAUAGUACUCUGCUUGCCAGGUUAUGACUAUGCAUAUCGACGCUUAUGACGUGUUGUAUUGGCCGUCCUUCGAGAACUGAACAAUAUGUUUUGACUUCCCCUAAACAUAGAUUACCAUCAUAUGUCUAUUGUUCACUGAAAGAAAUGGCAAAUACAACCAAGUAUUAUUAAUAAUAUCAUUUUAGACCAAAAAGAAGCUGAUUAGAGAUGAUAUAAUAGGGUUGGGAGGGGUUAGUUCACUGCAAGAAAUUAUUAUUUUAAAUUUGGGCUGGAAGCAUUAAUCUUGCUCAUUUAGUAAUGCCAUUUUGAUACUAAGAUACAUGCACCUAUGCAGUUGAUUUAGCAUAUGCACUUGAUUUAUGUCAUAAUUGUGGUGAUGUAAGCAUAAAACCAUCAAAGGAAAUUUGAUCUUUCAUUGUUGAGUCUAGGACUUCCACAAGAAUAGUAUUUGUGGUUUUCCGUUUCUUUUUUUUUCCUUCUUGGGGUCAUGAUAAGGUUACUUCUUUGCAACGUAGGUGAUGAGCAGGAAUAGUCCUGUGCUUGUCGACCCUUUCAAUGUGUUGUAUUGGCUGUCCUUCGAGAAGUGAACAAUAUGUUUUGACUUCCCCUCAAAAUAAAUCAGCAUCAUAUGUGUCAUAAAGUCAUGAUUAGGAUGUGUUGC
rnacentral:lncRNA from 1 species